CAGAUGUUUAACACGGACAAGUGCCUCCGACAAGCGGGAGCGGGCCCGCGGCCCGGCCAGGCCGCAGGGGGCGGUCCGGCCCCGGCGCCCUCGCCCGGGCGCAGGCGCCGCCGUGGGCCCGCGGCGGAGGGCGGCUCGCCCCGGGACGGCAGCUCCAUGCGCUGCCAGGUGUCGGUGCUGUACUUCGCCAGGAGCGCGGAGCUGGCGGGGCUGCGCUGCGAGACCCUCUCGGUGCCUCGGGAGAUCACCUCUCUGCAGCUCUGGGAGGAGAUCGUCAAGGUCCACCCCAGGCUUGCUGCCAUCCGGGAUCAAGUGAUAUUUGCGGUUCGGCAGGAGUACGUGCUUCUUGGAGAUCAGCUUCUGGUCCUGCAGCCUGGAGACGAGGUUGCCAUCAUCCCACCAAUUAGUGGAGGCUGAACCUGCCCAGAUUCUCUUAGGUACUACAAGAAAUAAUUUUGAAGGAAAAAAAGUGAUUCACUUAGAAUAUGAAGCAUAUACUUCAAUGGCAGAGACUGAAAUAAAGAAAAUCUGCAGAAACGUUAGACAGAAAUGGCCUUCAGUCAAACAUAUUGCAGUGCACCAUAGACUUGGGCUUAAUUUUAAAAGAAGAAAGAAUGGAAGAAAAAAGCCUAUGUCUGUGUGGUUCCAAUAACUGAAGCAAGUGUAAUUAUUGCGGUCUCCUCUCCACAUAGAGCAGAAUCCCUUGAAGCUGUAACGUACUGCAUCAAUACCUUAAAAGCAUCUGUCCCAAUAUGGAAAAAGAACUUGGCACGUGGUUAAACAGUGAUAUUCUCUGCAUUACUCCACUUCUCAGAUACCUCCUUGAGGAGAUGGAAGUUCUCUCAGAAUGAAUAAUUAGGGACUUUGAAGAAUUUGCUGCAUAGGACUGGACUGCAGCUGUGUAAUCCAGUCUGUCUUUAAGAUACAUUAGUAGUGUAUUUAGUGUAUUAAUGUAAGUUUUAUUUUAAUAUUGACAUUUUGUUAUGUGUAAAUUCUCAUCUCACAAUGAUGCUACAGUAGGUUAAUGUAGCAGCAUGAGUACUGUGUACUCUACAGCUAUUACAUAAUUUCUUCCAGAUCUGUUUGCUGAAUUGACUUCAGCUUAGAUGGGCCCUUUUAAAUUCAGUGGGGAUCAGCCUGAGGUUCAGCCAAGUCUCUAUGUUCUAAGGUGCUGCCCUCUCUUCUGCUUGCCAGCCAAGUGCUGUGCAGUCCAGUUGUGAUCAGUAAAUAGUAAUGGGAUGGCUAUUGAGCUACCUGGCCUGAUUUGUAGCUGUAUGUAGCAGACUCACAACAUUUCCCAUUCUUUUUUUGUA